AGGAACUAGUUGGGUAAAAUAUUUUUAUAAAUAAUUAAAUUAUUUUUUGUUGACUGGUAUAUAUAUAAUCAGCCAGGUAGUGUUGAUGGCAGCGCAUUGCAGGCUGGGAAGGAAUAUGCUCCCACGCCUUCAAUUCGCACCUCACUAGCUCAGAGCCUCCAAGGGCUCUCGCAUACCUGGGAGGGGAUACAUGCAAACCUCUUUCGGCGUGAGGGGUCUUUGAUAGCUUCAAAGCAGAGAUCAGUCGGGAGAUUGCAAGGGGUGGCGGGAGGCGGAUCAAAGGAGUUCCUUGCCUCUGACCUUUGUCGCUAUUAUUAUCGUCUUUGAUAUCUUGUCAUUUCCCUUGACUAUUUUUUGGUUUCUUGUUUUGUUUGUGUGCAUGUUUUGAAGCUUCAUUCUCUGCCCUCCUUUCACUUCUCAUUGUUGAUGCAUCAAUCUUCUCUCUUCCUUUCACAACCUUCUCGCGAGUUCAACCCUUCACCAUAUCCUCCAGCUAGCAUCGAGCCUACCGCCUUAAAAGGGGACCUCCUAUCUUGUUCCUCCUAUCUUCUGGAAAUCUUACCUUGAAAAACAAUUCUAGUGACAGAAUGAUGCCUAUUCCAACCCGCACAUCAAAUGACAGAACGACUGACUGUCUCUCUCACCACAAGAACAAGGACGGCCAGGGGCUGUAAGCAAUCCCAAGAAGAUGGAGCGAGCUUCUCCUAUCAAGACCUUUUCUACCGCAGAAAUAUGAGAAACAGUCCACUCAGGAUGAAUAGCAGAAGAUAGGUAGAAAGGGGUAAUAAUAGUAAUGAUAUUAGUAGAUAGCAAGUAGGUAGUAGCUAAUCACUAAGAGCAGAAAG
rnacentral:sRNA from 1 species